AGGUUCAUGAUGCGCUGAUGAUGAAUC
rnacentral:sRNA from 1 species